UGCAUUAAUUACAAGCAAAUGGUGGAUGCCUUGGGAUAUGAAGACGAUGAAGGACGUGGCGUGCCUGCGUAAAGCCUCGGGGAGGUGGUUAGCAACCUGUGAUCCGGGGAUGUCCGAAUGGGGAAACCUGAUCCGUCGAAAGAUGAGAUCGACUCUUUGAGCAAUUAAAGAGUAGCAAACCCGCUGAAGUGAAACAUCUCAGUAAGCGGAGGAAUAGAGAACAAACGUUAUUCUCUUAGUAGCGGCGAGCGAAAAGGGAGAAGCCUAAACCAUUUGUUCUCGCAAGAGAACAAAUGGGGUUGCAAGGAAAUAGCGUCGGGAGCUUUACUCCAAACGCAGAAAGUUCUGGUGUUUGGAGUAGCGCUUGACCGAGGGAGUUCAUAAAACAAAGGUUGGUUAAAAGAAGUUUCCUGGAACGGAACGCCAAAGAGGGUAAUAGCCCCGUAUUUGAAAAUUACUUUGUGCUCCUUGCUGUUUUACUUAAGUACCUCGGGAAACGAAAGUCCCGUGGGAAUCAUCCCGGUCUGCCGGGAAAGGCUAAAUACUUCAUAUCUCCGAUAGUGAACCAGUACCGUGAGGGAAAGGUGAAAAGCAGCCCAGUGAGGGCGGUGAAAUAGACCUGAAACCAUUUUGCUUACAAAGAGUAGGAGUCCGCCCCAACUUCUUUCGCAAGAAAGAUGUUGGCGGAUGACUGCGUGCUUUUUGCAGAACGACCCAGCGAGUUUAUGGAUGUUGCAGUCUAAGCGGUUCUGCCGCGAAGGCAUAGGGAAACCAAGUGUUAAUAGCGCGAUCAAAUGCAUCAUUCAUAAGACCCGAAGCCAGGCGAGCUUACCAUGACCAGGGUGAAGGCCGACGAAAGUCGGCCGGAGGCCCGAACCCGUGAGCCGUUCAACACUCUGGGAUGAGUUGUGGUAAGAAGUGAAAAGCUAACCGAGCCUGGUAAUAGCUGGUUCUCCCCGAAAUAGCUUUAGGGCUAGCCUUUAUCAAACAUCUUGGAGGUAGAGCUCUGGAAAGAAUGUCCUUGGCGAAAGCCAGGUAUUCUUACCAAACUUCGAAUGCCAGGAUGAAAAAGAUAAAGAGUCAGAACACGGGGGCUAAGCUCCGUGCUCGAGAGGGAAACAGCCCAGACCUUCAUCUAAGGUCCCUAAAUUCAGCUAAGUGCAAAUCAAGGAAGUGAAGUUCCACAGAUAGCUAGGAGGUUCGCUCAGAAGCAGCUAUCCUUUAAAAAGUGCGUAAUAGCUUACUAGCUAAGGAAUUUUGCGCCGAAAAUUUAUCGGGGCUAAGCUGAAUACCGAAGAUAAGGACCCCGUCCGUAAGGACGGGAUGGUAGGGGAGCGUCCUCAUUGCGACAAAGCCGAAGCGCAAGCUUUGGUGGAGCGAUGAGGAGUGAGAAUGCUGGGAUGAGUAACCGCAAUGCAGGUGAGAGCCCUGCACACCGAAAACCCAAGGUUUCCUUGGCAAUGAUGAUCAUCCAAGGGUUAGGCGGGCCUUAGUCGAGCGCCAAAUGGCGACUGAUGAUGGACAGCUGGCUAAUAUUCCAGCCCCCCGCACUCUUCCGAAGAGUAACGCAAUUUGAGGUUUUGAUCGGAUUAUUGGAUUUCCGUUUCCGCAAGGAUGAAGUCAGAACUACGGUUCUGGCGACUUGAACGAACGAAUUGCCCAGAAAAGCUCGUAGGGCUAAGAGUGUUGGGUCCGUACCGUAAACCGACACAGGUGGGUUGGUAUGAAUAUACUAAGGUGAACGGGUGAAAGCUCCUGAAGGAACUAGGCAAAAAAGUGUCCGUAAGUUCGCGAUAAGGACUGUCCCGCGUAGCUCGCAAGAGUGAAGCGGGAUCGCAGCGAAAGUAUCCCUGGCGACUGUUUACCAAAAACAUAGGUCUCUGCUCAACUCGUAAGAGGAUGUAUAGAGGCUGACACCUGACCAGUGCUGGAGUGUUAAAGGUGCCGGUCUUGCCGCAAGGUAAGGCUGAGUGCCCGAAGCCCCAGUGAACGUCCGCGGUAACUAUAACCGUGUUAAAGUAGCGUAACCCCUUGCCUGGUAAGUUCAGGCCUGCAUGAAAGGUGUCACGACUUGGGAACUGUCUCCAGGAGCAGCCCGGUGAAAAUGCAAUACCGGUGAAGAUGCCGGUUACCUGCGGCUAGACGGAAAGACCCCGGGAGCUUUACUGUAGCUUCUUAUUGUUUUAUCGUUUUGCAUACGUAGCAUAGUGGGCAGGCUUUGAAGUGCGCCUCUCGGGGCGCAUGGAGCCAACAGUGAAAUACCCAUUUUGCGAAAUGAUAAAUCUAAUUCGCCCAAAAGGCGGAGACAGUGGGAGGUGGUCAGUUUUAGUGGGGCGCUAGCCUCCUAAAGAGUAGCGGAGGCGUUUAUAAGGUCAGCUAGCUCCGGAUGGAAAUCGGAGCGGUCGUGUAAAGGCACAAGCUGGCUUAACUGCGAGACGGGUAUGUCGAGCAGAUGGGAAACCAGAACUUAGUGAACCGAUGCGUUGUAGUAGAAAACGCAAAGAUCAUCAACCAAAAGUUACCCCGGGGAUAACAGGCUGGUAGGGCCCGCGAGUCCAAAUCUACGGCCCUGUUCG
rnacentral:rRNA from 1 species